rnacentral:ncRNA from 1 species
AUCUUCAGGGCGGGGUGAAAUUCCCCACCGGUGGUUACAGCCCACGAACCGCAAGGUUGAUUCGGUGAAACUCCGAAGCCGACAGUACAGUCUGGAUGAAAGAAGAU